GACGUAGGUGGCGAACGUUAUCCGGAAUUAUUGGGCGUAAAGGGUGCGUAGAUGGCCUGACAAGUUAACAGUGGUAAAUCGAGGCUCAACCUCGUGGAAACUGAUAAUACUGUCUGGCUCGAGUGCAGAAGAGGUUAACGGAAUUCCAUGUGGAGCGGUAAAAUGCGUAGAUAUAUGGAAGAACACCAAUAACGGCGAAGGCAGUUAACUAUUCUGUUACUGACAUUGAGGCACGAAAGCGUGGGGAGCAAAACGG
rnacentral:rRNA from 1 species